rnacentral:rRNA from 1 species
AUGAACGCUGGCGGCAUGCCUAACACAUGCAAGUCGAACGAGAUCUUCGGAUCUAGUGGCGCACGGGUGAGUAACGCGUGGGAACCUACCUUUUAGUUCGGGACAACGUUUGGAAACGAACGCUAAUACCGUAUACGCCCUCCGGGGGAAAGGUCAGCCGCUGAAAGAGGGGCCCGCGUCUGAUUAGCUUGUUGGUAAGGUAAUGGCUUACCAAGGCAACGAUCAGUAGCUGGUCUGAGAGGAUGAUCAGCCACACUGGGACUGAGACACGGCCCAGACUCCUACGGGAGGCAGCAGUGGGGAAUAUUGGACAAUGGAGGCAACUCUGAUCCAGCAAUGCCGCGUGUGUGAUGAAGGCCCUAGGGUUGUAAAGCACUUUCAACGGUGAAGAUGAUGACGGUAGCCGUAGAAGAAGCCCCGGCUAACUUCGU